rnacentral:rRNA from 1 species
AGGAAUAUUGGUCAAUGGGCGCGAGCCUGAACCAGCCAAGUAGCGUGAAGGAUGAAGGUCCUAUGGAUUGUAAACUUCUUUUAUACGGGAAUAAAGUGGUCCACGUGUGGGCUUUUGCAUGUACCGUAUGAAUAAGCAUCGGCUAACUCCGUGCCAGCAGCCGCGGUAAUACGGAGGAUGCGAGCGUUAUCCGGAUUUAUUGGGUUUAAAGGGAGCGCAGACGGGGGAUUAAGUCAGUUGUGAAAGUUUGCGGCUCAACCGUAAAAUUGCAGUUGAUACUGGUUCCCUUGAGUGCAGUUGAGGCAGGCGGAAUUCGUGGUGUAGCGGUGAAAUGCAUAGAUAUCACGAAGAACCCCGAUUGCGAAGGCAGCCUGCUAAGCUGUAACUGACGUUGAGGCUCGAAAGCGUGGGGAGCAAACAGGAUUAGAUACCCUGGUAGUCCACACGGUAAACGAUGGAUACUCGCUGUUGGCGAUAUACUGUCAGCGGCCAAGCGAAAGCAUUAAGUAUCCCACCUGGGGAGUACGCCGGCAACGGUGAAACUCAAAGGAAUUGACGGGGGCCCGCACAAGCGGAGGAACAUGUGGUUUAAUUCGAUGAUACGCGAGGAACCUUACCCGGGCUUAAAUUGCAGACGAAUUACCUGGAAACAGGUAAGCCGCAAGGCGUCUGUGAAGGUGCUGCAUGGUUGUCGUCAGCUCGUGCCGUGAGGUGUCGGCUUAAGUGCCAUAACGAGCGCAACCCUCGUGGCCAGUUACUAGCAGGUAACGCUGAGGACUCUGGCCAGACUGCCAUCGUAAGAUGCGAGGAAGGUGGGGAUGACGUCAAAUCAGCACGGCCCUUACGUCCGGGGCUACACACGUGUUACAAUGGGAGGUACAGAAGGCAGCUACCCGGCGACGGGAUGCCAAUCUCCAAAGCCUCUCUCAGUUCGGACUGGAGUCUGCAACCCGACUCCACGAAGCUGGAUUCGCUAGUAAUCGCGCAUCAGCCACGGCGCGGUGAAUACGUUCCCG